rnacentral:rRNA from 1 species
GAUGAACGCUGGCGGCGUGCCUAACACAUGCAAGUCGAGCGAGAACUUCGGUUCUAGCGGCGGACGGGUGAGUAACGCGUGGGUAACCUGCCCUAUACACAUGGAUAACAUACCGAAAGGUAUGCUAAUACAAGAUAAUACAUUGAUAAGGCAUCUUAUUAAUGUCAAAGCUUUUGCGGUAUAGGAUGGACCCGCGUCCCAUUAGUUAGUUGGUGAGGUAACGGCUCACCAAGGCCACGAUGGGUAGCCGACCUGAGAGGGUGAUCGGCCACACUGGAACUGAGACACGGUCCAGACUCCUACGGGAGGCAGCAGUGGGGAAUAUUGCACAAUGGGCGCAAGCCUGAUGCAGCAACGCCGCGUGAGCGAUGAAGGCCUUCGGGUCGUAAAGCUCUGUCCUCAAGGAAGAAUAAUGACGGUACUUGAGGAGGAAGCCCCGGCUAACUACGUGCCAGCAGCCGCCGUAA